rnacentral:rRNA from 1 species
UACGGGGGGGGCAAGCGUUGUUCGGAAUUACUGGGCGUAAAGGGUUCGUAGGUGGCUUGUUAAGUCAGACGUGAAAUCCCUCGGCUCAACCGGGGAACUGCGUCUGAGACUGAUGAGCUUGAGUGCAGGAGAGGAACGCGGAAUUCCAGGUGUAGCGGUGAAAUGCGUAGAUAUCAGGAGGAACACCGAUGGCGAAGGCAGGUCUCUGGGCAUUAACUGACGCUGAGGAGCGAAAGCAUGGGGAGCGAACAGG